rnacentral:rRNA from 1 species
CCGAGCCCGCUCAGAAACUCAAAUGAAUUGACGGGGGCCCGCACAAGCGGUGGAGCAUGUGGUUUAAUUCGAUGAUACGCGAGGAACCUUACCUGGGCUCGAACGUAAGAUGACUGUAGGUGAAAGCUUACAUCUCUUCGGAGCAUUUUACGAGGUGCUGCAUGGUUGUCGUCAGCUCGUGCCGUGAGGUGUCGGGUUAAGUCCCAUAACGAGCGCAACCCUACCUUUAGUUGCCAUCAGGUAAUGCUGGGGACUCUAAAGGAACUGCCUACGCAAGUAGUGAGGAAGGCGGGGAUGACGUCAAAUCAGCACGGCCCUUACGUCCAGGGCUACACACGUGCUACAAUGGCCGAUACAGAGGGCAGCUACCUGGUGACAGGAUGCAAAUCUCCAAAGUCGGUCUCAGUUCGGAUCGGAGUCUGCAACCCGACUCCGUGAAGUUGGAUUCGCUAGUAAUCGCGCAUCAGCCAUGGCGCGGUGAAUACGUUCCCGGGCCUU